rnacentral:rRNA from 1 species
CAUCCAACGCGUUGGGAGCUCUCCCAUAUGGUCGACCUGCAGGCGGCCGCGAAUUCACUAGUGAUUACCGCGGCUGCUGGCACGGAGUUAGCCGGGGCUUUCUUGGUCAGGUACCGUCAUUAUCUUCCCUGCUGAAAAGGGCUUUACAACCCUAAGGCCUUCAUCACCCACUCGGUAUUGCUGGAUCAGGCUUUCGCCCAUUGUCCAAUAUUCCCCACUGCUGCCUCCCGUAGGAGUCUGGGCCGUGUCUCAGUCCCAGUGUGGCUGAUCAUUCUCUCAAACCAGCUACAGAUCAUUGGCUUGGUAGGCCAUUACCCUACCAACUACCUAAUCUGGCGCGGGCUCAUCCAUCAGCGAUAAAUCUUUCCUCCAAAGAGAAUAUACGGUAUUAGCAAUUAUUUCUAAAUGUUAUUCCGUACUGAUGGGCAGAUUCCCACGUGUUACUCACCCGUCUGCCACUAAUUUAUUUAAAGCAAGCUCUAAAUAAAUCCGUUCGACUUGCAUGUGUUAAGCAUACCGAAAGCGUUCGUUCUGAGCCAUGAUCAAACUCUAAUCGAAUUCCCGCGGCCGCCAUGGCGGCCGGGAGCAUGCGAC